rnacentral:tRNA from 1 species
GGCGAGAUGGCCGAGCGGUCUAAGGCGCUAGAAUCAGGAUCUAGUCUCUUCGGGGGCGCGAGUUCGAAUCUCGCUCUCGUCA